rnacentral:rRNA from 1 species
GNNNNGAGGNCGGNCAGCUAACACAUGCAGUCGAGCGGUAACAGGGGUAGCUUGCUAGCCCGCUGACGAGCGGCGGACGGGUGAGUAAUGCAUAGGAAUCUGCCCGGUAGUGGGGGAUAACCUGGGGAAACCCAGGCUAAUACCGCAUACGUCCUACGGGAGAAAGGGGGCUUCGGCUCCCGCUAUUGGAUGAGCCUAUGUCGGAUUAGCUAGUUGGUGAGGUAAAGGCUCACCAAGGCAACGAUCCGUAGCUGGUCUGAGAGGAUGAUCAGCCACAUCGGGACUGAGACACGGCCCGAACUCCUACGGGAGGCAGCAGUGGGGAAUAUUGGACAAUGGGGGCAACCCUGAUCCAGCCAUGCCGCGUGUGUGACGAAGGCCCUCGGGUUGUAAAGCACUUUCANCGAGGAAGAACNCCUAGCGGUUAAUACCCGUUAGGAAA